rnacentral:rRNA from 1 species
GCCGAGCGGCGGACGGCUGAGUAACACGUUGGUAACUACCCCCCAUUCAGGGAUAAGCGCGAGAAAUCGCGUCUAAUACCGGAUAGUCCCGCAAGGGUAAAGAUUUUUCGAUGGGGGAGGUGCCUGCGGCCUAUCAGCUUGUUGGUGAGGUAAUGGCUCACCAAGGCUAUGACGGGUAACUGGUCUGAGAGGAUGAUCAGUCAGAGGGAAACUGAGACACGGUUCCCACUCC